CAACAUUCAAUCACUUGAAAGUCACAUACUCCAAAGAAGAUCUCAAAUAAUGUGUCUACAAUGGACAUACAUCUGAAUUUCCAAGAGAGUCUCACCAAAUUCUGCCAUUGCCCCUGGAUGGAGAAAGCCAACAGCAGAAAGGAUGGUGACUCAAACUCAGCGCCCCAAAACCAAACACCCACUAAUGACUCAUAUGCUGAAGCCCAGGAGAUUCUGAAACUUUGCUGAAAAACACAUAUGCCAACAACAUUCUCAUCAACAGGAGCAAGCUGGCUCCUCCUGCACUGGGGCUGCGAGUCAGGCAUGCGUCACCAACCCAGAACUGGAGUUUACUGGGUCAAUAGAGAGCAGCUGGGACUUUCUUCUUUUCUUUUUUUCCCCAAUGCCUGUUGGAGAAAAUCCGAUGCAUCCUGGCAUAAGAGGCUCUCAAGCCUCUAGAAAAAUGAGUGCUUACAUAUAAAAGCACUGAAGAGGAGGCACUGGCUCGCUCUAACCGGAAAUGGAAAGGGGCGUCAGGUGGAACGCUAUGACGACUAGUGGUCUUGUUAGGUAUUCUUUCAGGUCAACACACCUCAUUGCUGAGUCAGAUGGAAAUAAAAUUUGCUCACCAGAAAGGCACAAAUAAAGAUCGACCCACCCAAAGUCUCCAGCAAAGUCAUGUAGCUGGCAGAUUCUAGUGUUCAUUUGAGUGAUAACUAAUUUUAUUCCUAGGACCUGGUAAAGUCUAUGAACUCAAAGUGAGAAGUCUAUUGGUUUUCUUUUAUUCUUUUCUUCCUCUCUCCCCUAAAGGAUUCCAGUCCCCUUUUUGUCCUUCUCUUCUCCCACUCUGGGGCUUUCAUCUAUCAGGAAAGUCAAAUCCUUCUACUUUGUUGUUUUUUCCUGGUACCAGGGAUCAAACUCAGGACUUUGAGAUUGUGAGGCAGACGCGGUGCCACUGAGCUAAAUCCCCAGCCCAAACAAUUUCUUUCUUUCUGUCAUUACUCAUUCCCCUGAAAACAUCUUUCUUUUUGGUACUGGGGAUCAAACUUGGGACCUUGCGCUUGGGAAGCAGGUGGCGGAACCACUGAACUAAAUCCCUGGCUCCACUUUUGCUGUUAGUCAGCAAAGAGGCAGGGAGCUGGAGGUUGGACAAGGAUCCAUAGGAGCUGGGGAGCUCAGGACAUUUUCUCACAGCUCUGGGGAAAGAUUUUAGGCCUCACCUGGGUGGGGAAUGGAGGUGCCACCCAGGGUGUCCCACUUGUGUGCUGGUGCUGAUCAAAUAGGAGGAGGAAAAUCAAGUCAUGCCCAACCUACCCAGUCAACAAAGACCC
rnacentral:lncRNA from 1 species